rnacentral:rRNA from 1 species
GACGAAGGGGGCUAGCGUUGUUCGGAAUUACUGGGCGUAAAGCGAGUGUAGGCGGUUGCCCAAGUCAGGUGUGAAAGCCUUGAGCUCAACUCAAGAAAUGCACUUGGUACUGGGUGGCUAGAGGACCGGAGAGGAUAGUGGAAUUCCCAGUGUAGUGGUGAAAUACGUAGAGAUUGGGAAGAACACCAGUGGCGAAGGCGGCUAUCUGGACGGUUACUGACGCUAAGACGCGAAAGCGUGGGGAGCGAACAGG